AUACUAUUUUAAUUGUUUAUCCUUAAAAAAUAAAUGAUCGAUGGUAUGCACUUUUUUCUCAUAGUAAGACAUUGCGAUCCAUUAGUAUAUCUUUUUUAUAGAUGGUUUAUCAAACGGCCCGUAUAGUCAGUUUAAUCUAUCUGCAAUACUUUUGUUAUUGUAUGGUUAAUGCUAUUGCGGUGACCUGGUAAACAGCUGAUGGAGCUUGAUAAAAUCAUGCUCAUGCAUUCUUAUAAAUGUAUUACGAUUUUAAUUUUAUUUGCAAAAAUAUGAUUGAAAUGCAGUGAUCGCAUGUAUUUGAUUAGCAAUGCGAUAGAUUUGGGAUACCUUCGGGACCCGUCUUGAAACACGGACCAAGAAGUCUAACAUGUGUGUAAGUCAUUGGGUAUGUUGUUGUUGAAACCUAAAGGCGAAAUUAAAAUAACUAUUUAUGGGAUUACAAGCAAUCUAAUUUUCAAUUUGAUUGUUUCUCCAUCCCGGGGCGUUCUAUAUUGAACAUGGUUGUCAAGCAAUUGGGACCCUCUGUUCAAGAGCGUACCUUGAACAUACAUGCUGUGACCC
rnacentral:rRNA from 1 species